rnacentral:rRNA from 1 species
CGGGGCUACUGCUCUGUAAUUGGCAUGGGGGCGACCUUCACCCUCGCCCGAGUACCCAUUGGAGGGCAAGUCUGGUGCCAGCAGCCGCGGUAAUUCCAGCUCCAAUAGCGUAUAUUAAACUUGUUGCAGUUAAAAAGCUCGUAGUUGUACUUUAUGUCCUCCGCGUGGUCCUUUCCUCGCCGGGACGCCUCGUUACUUUGAGAAAAUUAGAGUGUUUCAAGCAGGUUUCGCCUGUAUAAUUGAGCAUGGAAUAACCUUGUAUGACCCUGUCGUACCGUUGGUUGACUUUGGGUAAUGGUUAAUAGGAACGGUUGGGGGCAUUCGUACUCGACUGUCAGAGGUGAAAUUCUUAGAUUUGUCGAUGACGCACGACUGCGAAAGCAUUUGCCAAGGACGCUUCCAUUAAUCAAGAAC